AUGUUCCCAUGGCUUGGGCCUCCAUGCCUCUUCCUAUCCUUCCUCAUCAUCUCCACGAUGCCGGCGCUGUUGCUCGCGGCAGCCUGCGAACCCGAGCGAUGUGGUAACCUGAGCAUCUCAGCCCCGUUCGGGGUCGUCUCAGGUUCUGAGGAGAACAGGUGCGCCCAGGCCCAGCUCGGGUUCCAGGUCCACUGCACCGACGGCGUCCCCUACCUUGGGUACUACGAGCCGGAGUACGGGCUUAAGAUCCUCGACAUCUUCUACAACAAUGGUCCUUCUAGUCUCCGACGUCCACAAGAUCGGAGGCUUCAAUCUCUCCGACAAGAAAGGAUGCCGUGUCCCGACGGCCAACACCGCCACCAAAGUCGGGCCUCCGUUCUCGUUAAGUCCUCCGAAUCAGAACCUCGUCUUCUACAACUGCACCAAGGUGCCGGCAGGCCAAGCAGGGCUGGUGGAGACGGGGUGCAUCUCUGCCUUCCUGACAGUGCUUGGGGUAUAUGGCGAGGCGAACGCGAGCAAUUACGCGCGGCUCAUCAAUGA
rnacentral:rRNA from 1 species